AUUCUUCUGGCGGGUUUCGUUCUCUUCGUAUCGUGCGGUGCAUUUUGGGGUCGUACAUGGCUUUCUAUUGCUUGCUUGGCUUUCUAGCCUUGCAGGUGGUUGAUUGGCAUUUCGGCUUCGGGGAUGUCUACCGUAAAGGUGCAUGAGUGGUGUUUGGUUUGAUACGGGUGGUCGGCUCCCUGCUUGAGCAGGCACGGCCACGCGUGCAUUCCUUUUCAGCUGUGCGGCAAGGCUUGUAUCGUCUUGAUCGUAUAAGUGGGUUUCCUGUGUUGCAUACCUGAUCAAUGGCAUCGUUUCGAUCAAAAGCGUACCUUUUUCGUCUAGUGUUGCAUCCGCACCAUUGGAUGAACCGUGUAGCAAUCUCUUUGAUCCAUACAAUUGAUGUUCAUUCGUUGAUUGUUUGGCCCAUUGAGUGUGUCUUGGUCCCUUGAAUAUGGAAGCCAAAGUGGGCAUGCGAUCGCAAGAUCUGUUUAGUGCCCUUAUUGAGCGUUCUCGCUUCUCUUACACGACUGCCUCUCACGUAUGGCACGUCCCAGCGUGUUUGGCUAUGUCGAAGAGGAAUGU
rnacentral:misc_RNA from 1 species